AACGAACGCUGGCGGCAUGCCUAACACAUGCAAGUCGAACGAAGCCUUCGGGCUUAGUGGCGCACGGGUGCGUAACGCGUGGGAAUCUGCCCUUGGGUUCGGAAUAACAGUUAGAAAUGACUGCUAAUACCGGAUGAUGUCUUCGGACCAAAGAUUUAUCGCCCAAGGAUGAGCCCGCGUCGGAUUAGCUAGUUGGUGAGGUAAAGGCUCACCAAGGCGACGAUCCGUAGCUGGUCUGAGAGGAUGAUCAGCCACACUGGGACGGCGACACGGCCCAGACUCCUACGGGAGGCAGCAGUGGGGAAUAUUGGACAAUGGGCGAAAGCCUGAUCCAGCAAUGCCGCGUGAGUGAUGAAGGCCUUAGGGUUGUAAAGCUCUUUUACCCGGGAUGAUAAUGACAGUACCGGGAGAAUAAGCCCCGGCUAACUUCGUGCCAGCCGCCGCCGUAAAAC
rnacentral:rRNA from 1 species